GCCUCCAUAGCUCAGUUUGGUUAGAGCAUGAGACUCUUAAUCUCAGGGUCGCGGGUUCGAGCCCCGCUGGAGGCU
rfam:Salpingoeca sp. ATCC 50818 unplaced genomic scaffold supercont1.6, whole genome shotgun sequence.